GAUGAACGCUGGCGGCGUGCUUAACACAUGCAAGUCGAACGAUGAAGCCCAGCUUGCUGGGUGGAUUAGUGGCGAACGGGUGAGUAACACGUGAGUAACCUGCCCUUGACUCUGGGAUAAGCCUGGGAAACUGGGUCUAAUACUGGAUAUGACUUCUCAUCGCAUGGUGGGGGGUGGAAAGAUUUAUUGGUCUUGGAUGGACUCGCGGCCUAUCAGCUUGUUGGUGAGGUAAUGGCUCACCAAGGCGUCGACGGGUAGCCGGCCUGAGAGGGUGACCGGCCACACUGGGACUGAGACACGGCCCAGACUCCUACGGGAGGCAGCAGUGGGGAAUAUUGCACAAUGGGCGCAAGCCUGAUGCAGCGACGCCGCGUGAGGGAUGACGGCCUUCGGGUUGUAAACCUCUUUCAGUAGGGAAGAAGCGAGAGUGACGGUACCUGCAGAAGAAGCGCCGGCUAACUACGUGC
rnacentral:rRNA from 1 species